rnacentral:rRNA from 1 species
AGCGGCGGACGGGUGAGUAACACGUGGGCAACCUGCCUGUAAGACUGGGAUAACUUCGGGAAACCGGAGCUAAUACCGGAUAAUCCUUUCCCUCUCAUGAGGGAAAGCUGAAAGACGGUUUCGGCUGUCACUUACAGAUGGGCCCGCGGCGCAUUAGCUAGUUGGUGAGGUAACGGCUCACCAAGGCGACGAUGCGUAGCCGACCUGAGAGGGUGAUCGGCCACACUGGGACUGAGACACGGCCCAGACUCCUACGGGAGGCAGCAGUAGGGAAUCUUCCGCAAUGGACGAAAGUCUGACGGAGCAACGCCGCGUGAGCGAUGAAGGCCUUCGGGUCGUAAAGCUCUGUUGUUAGGGAAGAACAAGUAUCGGAGUAACUGCCGGUACCUUGACGGUACCUAACCAGAAAGCCACGGCUAACUACGUGCCAGCAGCCGCGGUAAUACGUAGGUGGCAAGCGUUGUCCGGAAUUAUUGGGCGUAAAGCGCGCGCAGGCGGUCCUUUAAGUCUGAUGUGAAAUCUCGCGGCUCAACCGCGAGCGGUCAUUGGAAACUGGGGGACUUGAGUGCAGAAGAGGAAAGUGGAAUUCCACGUGUAGCGGUGAAAUGCGUAGAGAUGUGGAGGAACACCAGUGGCGAAGGCGACUUUCUGGUCUGUAACUGACGCUGAGGCGCGAAAGCGUGGGGAGCAAACAGGAUUAGAUACCCUGGUAGUCCACGCCGUAAACAAUUAUGCUAAGUGUUAGAGGGUUUCCGCCCUUUAGUGCUGCAGCUAACGCAUUAA